ensembl:lncRNA
AGACGCUGCGCCUGGCGUCCAGCUACAUCUCGCACCUGGCCAACGUGCUGCUGCUGCAGCAGCGCCGGCAGGACGAGGCGGCCGCCGCCGAGCAGCCCUGUCCGCAGCCCUGCCCGCAGCCCUGUCCGCAGCCCUGUCCGCAACCCUGCCCGCAGCCCUGUCCGGAGCCCGCUCAGCCCCCGCAGCCCUGCCCGCAGCCCUGUUCGCCACCAGGAGCCUCCGCGCCUCGGUCCAUCUGCACCUUCUGCCUCAGCGACCAGCGGCAGCGGCACCGAGAAAAAGAGAAACCAUCACCUGGUCCAGCCGUAACCGGACUCUGAACAGGCUGAGGGUCUCGCACCACUCCUGCUCUGACUGUACCACUGCACUGGGUAACAUCGCCUCACUCGUGCUGCAUGUUUACAUUUAGAUAGCACAGUCCUAAAAGAGUUACUUUUUAAGCCUAUGCACUUUGUUUCAUAUUGUGAGGGGUUUUUUCAGGGUGUUUUGCGAAUGAAAUUCGCUGCCUCUGUUGAGACGGUUGCACCUGGUGCGGCAGCUAUUUUAGCGCGAGAAAUGUUAAACCUCAGCAGCCAAGCCCUGAUCCUGAUGCCUCCUAAACCUGUGUCGCAUGAUGAAACUUGAACUUCCAAACACACGGUGUCCCCUGUCAGGGGAAGCUGCAGUGAACACGCCGUGCCCUACGCCUCCAGCCCAGCCCGGGCUGCACGCAGCGCUGCCGCCCACUCCUCCAGCUGCACGCCAGUCCCCGGGGACAGGGGCCGAUGCCGACAGCUGACAUGCUUGAGAGGUCUCAGCGAUGCUGGAAGAUUAUUUUGAGGUGUUCACAGAAAGUCGGAAAACUUCCAGCGAAAGCAGCCCGGUUGGCUGUGCACAGGCGCUGCAACACGGGAUGUAUCCAGCACAGGAGAGGAAAGGGGAGAAGUGCAGUGUAAGCGAUGCUCUUUUCUUAUUAACAGGGCGAGUCGUGCCAGUCCUUUAAAUAGCACAGGAUAUUCCUACAUCUGCCGGGCAAGGAGGGUUUCCCAAGGGCUUUUACCCAUCACCCAGGUAGUUCCAUAACUGCCCCGUACAUCACUGAGGUUGUUUAUCUCCCCUCAGUUUACUAACUUGUAUACUUUUUUUCAGAAGUAACUGUAAAAGGCAAAUAAGAUUUUCUGUUUUCAGGUUUGGACAUUAGUGAAGCAGCAAGCUAAAAUCUUAAACCCCAGUAAUGCUGAGGUUUAAGAAACACAGAGAUAGGUUAAUUUUGCAAUGUUUUUUAUAGCUAUUUGUAAUACAAUUAAUUAGGCUUUAAUUAAUCUAAACUCGUUAUUUGGGGAGGCACUCUGUAACUGUAACCACUCCAAGUGCUGCAAGGAAAACUUUCCUUUUUCCUCCCCUGAUGCCAUCUGUGCAGUGCUCCUGGCCAGCCUUGCUGCUCUGGCCAAACUUGAGGGCUGAAGAAGCAGCUCUGUGUUGUUCACUUUCUUUUCUAUAGAGAGUUUUCUCUCCUUGCCCUACAUAAGUGCAAAGCAAAAUCUGGCAGUCGUUAUGAAGAACUUGGCAAGAGCAAGGUUGUGGUGUACUCCUACACAACUUCACCUUUUCAGUUUCCCUUUUUUCCUGCUCAACAUACAGCGGCCACUUUUUCUGUGGCACAAUGAGGAAAAAUCUGCUGUACCUACAGAAAUGCAGUGAGCUCUUCCUUUGAAUUCUAACAAGGCAAAAUCCCAGCAAUUCCACAUCACAUCAAGUCUCUUCAGUUAUUAAAAGCUACAGGUUGUAUUUUCCUGGAUUGAGAGGAGAUUCUUGUUUUUAGGUUUCUAUCAUUAAUCUUUUUUUUAAUGGGGAACUUUCAAUUGCUGCCAGAUCAUGGUCUUUGCUUUGGCACUGAUUUGUGAAGCUGGAACUCUUUAUAGCUUUGUACAGUGUUUUUUAAUUUUUGUGUUGUGUCAGCCUCUGUGUGUGGGUAUAGAGCUCUACAAACAUACCUUCCUGGAUUUAUUUUUUUUAAUCAAUUUGAAAAAAAUUGUUUUUUAAAAAGUCAUUUGCUUCACAAUUAAAGCUGAUCUUACAGUUCAGCCCAACAUUCUUAUGAACACAUUAAACCAAAACAUCUGACCUCUUUAUAGACAAUUAACACUAAUUUAUUCAUUUAGCUGUAUCAUUUCAUAUGAUACCCUAAAAUGGCAAAACAUAAUGCAGUUUCAAACAAUUCUAGGAAAAUUUUGCAUUGAGUAUGCUCUGAAUUUUGAAUUUUGUAGGAAAGACAAUAAAAUUAUUUAUUUCAGGUUUUCA